UACGUAGGGAGCAAGCGUUGUCCGGAAUCAUUGGGCGUAAAGCGCGCGUAGGUGGCUUCGUAAGUCCGUUGUGAAAGUCAAAGGCUCAACCUUUGAAAGCCGAUGGAUACUGUGAAGCUAGAGUACGGAAGAGGCGAGUGGAAUUCCUGGUGUAGCGGUGGAAUGCGCAGAUAUCAGGAGGAACACUAAUAGCGAAGGCAGCUCGCUGGGACGUUACUGACACUGAGGCGCGAAAGCGUGGGGAGCGAACAGG
rnacentral:rRNA from 1 species